UUGAACGCUGGCGGCAUGCCUUACACAUGCAAGUCGAACGGCAGCAUGAUCUAGCUUGCUAGAUUGAUGGCGAGUGGCGAACGGGUGAGUAAUACAUCGGAACGUGCCCUGUAGUGGGGGAUAACUAGUCGAAAGAUUAGCUAAUACCGCAUACGACCUGAGGGUGAAAGUGGGGGACCGCAAGGCCUCAUGCUAUAGGAGCGGCCGAUGUCUGAUUAGCUAGUUGGUGAGGUAAAGGCUCACCAAGGCGACGAUCAGUAGCUGGUCUGAGAGGACGAUCAGCCACACUGGGACUGAGACACGGCCCAGACUCCUACGGGAGGCAGCAGUGGGGAAUUUUGGACAAUGGGCGAAAGCCUGGUCCAGCAAUGCCGCGUGUGUGAAGAAGGCCUUCGGGUUGUAAAGCACUUUUGUCCGGAAAGAAAUGGCUCUGGUUAAUACCUGGGGUCGAUGACGGUACCGGAAGAAUAAGGACCGGCUAACUACGUG
rnacentral:rRNA from 1 species